UACGGGGGGGGCAAGCGUUGUUCGGAAUUACUGGGCGUAAAGGGCUCGUAGGCGGCCAACUAAGUCAGACGUGAAAUCCCUCGGCUUAACCGGGGAACUGCGUCUGACACUGGAUGGCUUGAGAUUGGGAGAGGGAUGCGGAAUUCCAGGUGUAGCGGUGAAAUGCGUAGAUAUCGGGAAGAACACCCGUGGCGAAGGCGGCUCUCUGGGACGGUACUGACGCUGAGACGCGAAAGCGUGGGGAGCGAACAGG
rnacentral:rRNA from 1 species